UACGUAGGGGGCAAGCGUUGUCCGGAUUUAUUGGGCGUAAAGAGCGUGUAGGCGGCUAGGUAGGUCCGUUGUGAAAACUCGAGGCUCAACCUCGAGACGCCGAUGGAAACCAUUUGGCUAGAGUCCGGAAGAGGAGAGUGGAAUUCCUGGUGUAGCGGUGAAAUGCGCAGAUAUCAGGAAGAACACCCGUGGCUAAGGCGGCUCUCUAGUACGGUACUGACGCUGAGACGCGAAAGCGUGGGGAGCGAACAGG
rnacentral:rRNA from 1 species